GUGGGGAAUAUUGGACAAUGGGGGGAACCCUGAUCCAGCCAUGCCGCGUGUGUGAAGAAGGCCUUUUGGUUGUAAAGCACUUUAAGCGAGGAGGAGGCUACCGAGAUUAAUACUCUUGGAUAGUGGACGUUACUCGCAGAAUAAGCACCGGCUAACUCUGUGCCAGCAGCCGCGGUAAUACAGAGGGUGCAAGCGUUAAUCGGAUUUACUGGGCGUAAAGUGCGCGUAGGUGGCCAAUUAAGUCAAAUGUGAAAUCCCCGAGCUUAACUUGGGAAUUGCAUUCGAUACUGGUUGGCUAGAGUAUGGGAGAGGAUGGUAGAAUUCCAGGUGUAGCGGUGAAAUGCGUAGAGAUCUGGAGGAAUACCGAUGGCGAAGGCAGCCAUCUGGCCUAAUACUGACACUGAGGUGCGAAAGCAUGGGGAGCAAACAGGAUUAGAAACCCUAGUAGUCC
rnacentral:rRNA from 1 species